GAUGAAGAACGUAGCGAAAUGCGAUAAGUAAUGCGAAUUGCAGAAUCCGCGAGUCAUCGAAUCUUUGAACGCACAUUGCGCCCCUUGGUUAUUCCGAAGGGCAUGCCUGUUCGAGCGUCAUUAUCACCCCUCAAGCCCUGGCUUGGUGUUGGACUUUAGUUAUAGCUUUGCCUAUCAACUGGUCUCAAAGAUAGUGACGGCGCCCCAGAGGGAACCGGGUACGAGGAGCUUUUUACUAAGCAUGUAUCUGGGACGACUCUGGGCGACGGUCUUGUUAUACUUUUUACCUAAGUGUUGACCUCGGAUCAGGUAGGAAUACCCGCUGAACUUAAGCAUAUCAAUAAGCGGAGGA
rnacentral:misc_RNA from 1 species